rnacentral:rRNA from 1 species
GACAGCAGCAGCCACGGGAAUACGAAGGGUGCAAGCGUUACUCGGAAUUACUGGGCGUAAAGCGUGCGUAGGUGGUGGUUUAAGUCUGUUGUGAAAGCCCUGGGCUCAACCUGGGAAUUGCAGUGGAUACUGGGUCACUAGAGUGUGGUAGAGGAUAGUGGAAUUUCCGGUGUAGCGGUGAAAUGCGUAGAGAUCGGGAGGAACAUCAGUGGCGAAGGCGGCCAUCUGGGACAACACUGACGCUGAGGCACGAAAGCGUGGGGAGCAAACAGGAUUAGAUACCCGCGUAGUCCCUGUCUCUUAUAC